UAGCGAGACUGCCCGGGUUAACCGGGAGGAAGGUGGGGAUGACGUCAAAUCAUCAUGCCCCUUAUGUCUAGGGCUACACACGUGCUACAAUGGCUGGUACAGAGAGAUGCUAAACCGUGAGGUGGAGCCAAACUUUAAAACCAGUCUCAGUUCGGAUUGUAGGCUGAAACUCGCCUACAUGAAAGCUGGAGUUGCUAGUAAUCGCGAAUCAGAAUGUCGCGGUGAAUACGUUCCCGGGCCUUGUACACACCGCCCGUCACACCAUGAGAGUUGGCAAUACCCAAAAGUUCGUGAGCUAACGCGCAAGCGAGGCAGCGACCUAAGGUAGGGUCAGCGAUUGGGGUGAAGUCGUAACAAGGUAGCCGUAGGAGAACCUGCGGCUGGGAUCAACCUCCUUU
rnacentral:rRNA from 1 species